AGAGUUUGAUCCUGGCUCAGGACGAACGCUGGCGGCGUGCUUAACACAUGCAAGUCGAACGAGAGGACAAGAGGAGCUUGCUUCUUUUGGAAUCGAGUGGCAAACGGGUGAGUAACACGUAAACAACCUGCCUUCAGGAUGGGGACAACAGACGGAAACGACUGCUAAUACCGAAUACGCUUGGAAGACCGCAUGAUCUUCCAAGGAAAGGGUGGCCUCUACCUGUAAGCUAUCGCCUGAAGAGGGGUUUGCGUCUGAUUAGGCAGUUGGUGAGGUAACGGCCCACCAAACCUACGAUCAGUAGCCGGUCUGAGAGGAUGAACGGCCACACUGGAACUGAGACACGGUCCAGACUCCUACGGGAGGCAGCAGUGGGGAAUCUUCCGCAAUGGGCGAAAGCCUGACGGAGCAACGCCGCGUGGGUGAUGACGGCCUUCGGGUUGUAAAGCUCUGUGAUCGGGGACGAACGGUCCGUAAGCCAAUACCUUAUGGAAGUGACGGUACCCGAAUAGCAAGCCACGGCUAACUACGUGCCAGCAGCCGCGGUAAUACGUAGGUGGCAAGCGUUGUCCGGAAUUAUUGGGCGUAAAGCGCGCGCAGGCGGCUUUCUAAGUCCAUCUUAAAAGUGCGGGGCUUAACCCCGUGAUGGGAUGGAAACUGGAAAGCUCGAGUGAAGUAGAGGUAAGCGGAAUUCCUGGUGUAGCGGUGAAAUGCGUAGAUAUCAGGAGGAACACCGGUGGCGAAGGCGGCUUACUGGGCUUUUACUGACGCUGAGGCUCGAAAGCGUGGGGAGCAAACAGGAUUAGAUACCCUGGUAGUCCACGCUGUAAACGAUGAUUACUAGGUGUGGGGGGACUGACCCCUUCCGUGCCGCAGUUAACACAAUAAGUAAUCCACCUGGGGAGUACGGCCGCAAGGUUGAAACUCAAAGGAAUUGACGGGGGCCCGCACAAGCAGUGGAGUAUGUGGUUUAAUUCGAAGCAACGCGAAGAACCUUACCAGGUCUUGACAUCGAGUGCAUAACUAAGAGAUUAGUGAAAUCCCUUCGGGGACACUUAGACAGGUGGUGCAUGGUUGUCGUCAGCUCGUGUAGUGAGAUGUUGGGUUAAGUCCCGCAACGAGCGCAACCCUUACCUUUAGUUGCUACGCAAGAGCACUCUAAAGGGACUGCCGUUGACAAAACGGAGGAAGGUGGGGAUGACGUCAAAUCAUCAUGCCCCUUAUGACCUGGGCUACACACGUACUACAAUGGCAAUCAACAAAGAGAAGCAAGACAGUGAUGUGGAGCAAAUCUCAAAAAAUUGUCCCAGUUCAGAUUGUAGGCUGCAACUCGCCUACAUGAAGUCGGAAUUGCUAGUAAUCGCGGAUCAGAAUGCCGCGGUGAAUACGUUCCCGGGCCUUGUACACACCGCCCGUCACACCAUGGGAGUCGGUAACACCCGAAGUCGGUAGUCUAACAGCAAUGAGGACGCCGCCGAAGGUGGGAUUGAUGACUGGGGUGAAGUCGUAACAAGGUA
rnacentral:rRNA from 1 species